rnacentral:rRNA from 1 species
UACGUAGGGGGCAAGCGUUGUCCGGAUUUAUUGGGCGUAAAGAGCGUGUAGGCGGCCAGGUAGGUCUGCUGUGAAAACUCGAGGCUCAACCUCGAGACGUCGGCGGAAACCAUCUGGCUAGAGUCCGGAAGAGGAGAGUGGAAUUCCUGGUGUAGCGGUGAAAUGCGUAGAUAUCAGGAAGAACACCCGUGGCGAAGGCGGGUCUCUGGACAGUUCCUGACGCUGAGGCACGAAGGUCAGGGGAGCAAACGGG